UCCCGGCGGGCCUGGGGAGCACGCCGGGGGAAGCUGCAAAUGAGCGGCAGGGUUUGCUAUCACCGACACCCCUGGGCGCGCCUCUCUCCAGGGAAAGGAUGGCUUCUCUUCCUUUUCCCACGUAGGGAGGGAGACACGUUUUCCAGGUGCUGUGCGAGUUUUGCCCGGUCUUUCAGAGCAGGGAGGGGAAAGCUGGUGGUCUCCCGUCUGGAGCAUCCCAGGUAUGAGACCAGGAAGAGAUGUGCUUCCUAAGAAAAAGUGACUGGAUUUGUUCUGGGCUUCCUGUGGGAUUCUGGGGGAAAAAUGAAAAGGCUUUGCUGCUUUAUGAGGCUCGGUGAAAUGGUGCUUUACCAACUUCUCUUCUGGUGGUCUGUGGUGUUUCUGUGUUCUGUCAAGCCAGGGAGUCAGCAUCCCAACAGAAGCGAUGCUGCCAAGGACUGGGAAGAAGUUGUCCUGCAAGGAGCCCAGCACCGGGAUGUACAGCUGGGCCAUAGCAACUGGCAUAGGGCUGCACUGCAGCAGUGGAAGUGUCACAGAGGAUGAGAGAAGCCUGAAGUCCUUGUUUAGCACCAGCUGCUGAAACACUGUGCACUGAGAGGGGAACCAUGAGACAUCCCAAUGGGGAGAGUCCCACAUGUCAGGAGGUGUUUGGAGGUGACCCAGGGCAGAAGGCAACCAGGUGGAUUCUGACUCAAGGUUUGAGGGGGAUCUAUGAGUUUCGCUUUCAUUAACCUGUGAAUCCUGCUUACAGCAACAGCACAUUUGAUACUCUUUCUUUCAUUUUUGCCUUCCAUUUGUUUCCUUUCCAGAAUCUCCGUCCAGUUGAAUUCUCUGUCUGGGAACAGUGAACUCAUCCCUCAUCCAGGCAGGCUCAGGUUCUCAUGGUCACUGCCCUAGACUUCCCAAUCACCCUACUGUUCAUAGUGAGUCUCCUGCUGUUACUAAGAGAAAAGGUCAGGGGUAUGAUUUUUGCUCUGCCCUCUCUCAUGGUGAAUGUGUCUUUCUGACUGUAGCACAUGGCAUUACCUUCACUCACCACGGGAAUGUCUGCUCACAUCCAACAUGCCCACAGAUGUCAGGGGGCAGCUUGCCUCAGUGAGACCUCAUGCCAGCAAUACACGUUGUGCCAGCAGCCUCCGUGCACCAACGGGACUCACUCCAUGAGCGUGUGCUCCCCGUGAAGCUUGCCCUGGCCACGCUUACAGUGCUGGCCACCACAGCCAGCCACAUGCUGCUGUCACCUCCCCUGGUGCGUGUCUGCAGGAUCUGCUUAGUGACCUUGCCCAUUUUAUUCCUGACUUUCUUAGAAAUCAGAAUGCCUGUUUUCUCAGACACACUGCCUUGUGCUGGCAUAGCGGUCUUACACACACUGCAGCACUUGUGGGUGCUGUUGGAUAUAGCUCUGUGUCCUCAGCAUGGAGAUGCCUCUCCCUUCCCUCAUCCAUGUUUCUCCUUUGGCAUUUGUCCCUUGAUUCUUUACCCCGAGGAUUUUUGCCCUGAGCUCUUUGCUGGCAGCAAUUCCAGUCCCCUCUGACUAUCUUGCCCAUGGAGAUGGUGACCAGUGAGGCCACAUGGCUGACUGGGUGGUGGAUGUCACAAAUCACAAACGGAUCCACCUCAUUUUCUCCUAAGCCUGAGCCAGUCUCUCAUUUCAGAGAAGUCUGUCCAUUAACUCUCAAGGCUGGAGAGUACAAUUAUGUGUGCUUGUGUAGCUUGGAGCUUUCUAAGCAGCCCAAGUAAGUGGUUUUCACCUUUUCAUCCAGUCACUUCCUGUAAGAAAAGACACAUCCGUUCUCUUUGAGUACAGAUCUCACAAAUGAGUACAAACCUCACACAUGCCAGCGCUGGCUUUCUUCUGCCCUCAUUCCUGGAGGAGAAUCUCCUGGCCUGCACGUACCUUUGGCUCUCCAAAAUCAUAUUUGAAUGAAGAAAAUCUUCCUUCAGCAGAAGGUUUGUGCUUUGCUAACAAAAGGAAAUCCCUGAAUUUGUUGAUGUUCUUGGGAAACUUCUCCAAGUCCUUUUCUCUGGUACUGCAAGGGCAGUGUGGACAGUGCUGACUUCUUUAUGUGAGCCCAGCGUGUCUCAAGCCAUGCUUGAGGCUGCGGGUCGGUAAUGAGGCCAGUCAUUUGUUUGGGCUCCUGUGGAUAAUUCUGUCGAGGCCAAGCACUCUGCCAGUGAGCUUCUUUUAAGGACUGAUUUUCUUUUACACAGUCAGGACUCAGACAGCCUAUUAUUAACCUCAGAGCCUGAUGGCUUGCUUUGCAUUCCCAUUCCAGUCUGUGCUUUCACUGAUUCCAACACACAGCUACUGCACUUCUACACACCCCUGUUCCCUCCCUGCACUUGCUUUGAGCCCUGCCUCACCAGAUCACCUUUGCCAAUGUUGCAUCUCAGUGAAACUUGUCAUGUCCUUCAGCCAUCCACAGAGAAGAAGCUCUGUGAGGACACUGUUGUUUUCAGUCAUCCUGUCCUAAUUACUUGUCCCAGCAAUCCCAUGGAGUAGGGAAACAUGGCCUUGCUCUUCUAGAUGGGCAAAGAGACAUGGCAGCAGCAAGUGGAAAGUCAAUAGCAGGAACAAAACCUGAAUGCAAAGCCCCAGGGUGCCAGGCUUAGGUCAGGACAAAUGCCACCAAUCCUGAAGGAGAACAGCAGGCACAAGUGUGUAUUUUGCCCAUACCCAAGCAGCUGUGUCACCACUGACAGCAGGAAAGGAUGAGAGGGGCUUUGCUAAUAAGGACUCAUAAUGAGGCUGUGCCUGAGCUCAGACCUCCUGCUUAAAAAGUCCCUCGACAUGUGAGGAAGCAAGCAGCAGUGACCAUAGCAGGGCAAACCUCAGAGACCAUGGGAGGUCUGAGGGUGCCAGGCAAAAGAAGGGACAAGCCUGUGCCAGCACAUCUCAGUGGAGAGGUGAAGCAGGCAUCCAAAAAUAGCCCACCCUGCUGCCAAGAGCAGUGAGCCUUUGAUAAACAGUUUAAAAAUAACCUCAGUGGGAAAGACAUUGCAGCUCCCUCCGAACUGCAGAUCAGAACUGAAUUUGUGUCCCGUUUGCGUUUCCAUGUCCCUGCCAGCUUGCUGUGGAGCAUGUUGCUCAUGUGAUACCUGCUGCCUGCAGAUACUGGCCCUGACUGGGAUGUGGGCAGCCAUGAGGGACUGGGAAGAUGCUCAGCUGCAUUUUGCUGCUGCAGCAAGAGUUUGUCCUGGCUGGGAGCAGGAGCAGGGACACAGUCUGAUGGGAACAUGUCUGGUCAGAGCUACAAGGUGCUUUUUGUGUUGCGGCUUCCCACCCUCCUGUUGACAUGAGGGAAUGGCUUUUGUGGGUGUCAGGCAGAGAGGGGAAAGUGCAGGGAUGUCUGCCACAGAAAACUGGAGCCAGAUGAGCCAAGGGCCAGUGUGUCCUGGAGAACCCUUCCUAGGGAAGGGGGGUUUCGGGGACCCUCUGCUUUGUGUGCUCUCACUCUGCACUGGGAUGUGGAGUAGGGACAGAAAGGAGCCCUCCCUAUCACCUCUCCACAUCCCCAGGGUAACAGUGCUGGCCAUGGCCGGGAUGCAGCCCCAUUCCCACCUGGCUGCCCCAGGACAGCACCACCUCUCUCUAGGGCAAUUGGGAUUUUGUGGGCUGAAUUGGAUUUUUGUGGUCUGCUGGUUCUUCAGUGGGGGACCUCAAAGCUCUGGUCACCUGCACAGGAAGGCCUGGCACAGAGCAGAGCAGCAGGGCUAACUGCACCAGCACAUGCUCCUGGGCACUGUGGCUGCAGUGCUGUACGAAGGGACAAUGCUUAUGUCCCCCUUAGCCCAAGGCCACCACAUACCCCCUCCUCUGGAUGUGGGACACAGACCCUGCCCUGCUGCCCUGCCCCAGCUCCCUGGCAAGGCCCACUCCAGAACAGGGCCUGGAAAGAAAAAGUUAUGUACUGACAGAAAAAUCUCAUACUUGGAAAGGUUAUUGUAUUGCUCUGGUGGGUGGGGGAGAGUGUGAUGGAGGUGGGGCGAGGCAGGGGCCGACAAUCCUUCUCCAAACGUUGUCACUCUUGUGCAGUGAUCCUUGGAGAGCCCUUGCCGUUCUGCUGCCAGCAGGCAGGAGCCAAUUAAGGGCAAUUAGGGUGGAAGCGGAGAAGGCGCCCCUUUAGCUGCCGCCAGAGUGGCCACUGGGAGCGCUGGCAGGGCUCCACACUGUAAGGUUAUUAAAGUUCUCCCCCAUAUUGUCCUUGGAAGAGAUGCUUCGGAGCCGUCUGCUCGGAGCAGUGAGAUGAAAGGGAGACACCCUUUGAUGUGUUCGCCCGUUCACACAGUGCCUCCGUGGGGAAUCAACCCGAGCACUUCUGCAGCACCUUCCACCACUGUUAAUCACCCAGGCGGGUUACCCUGCUAUCUGAGGUUUCCUAGGCAGAGCACGAUCCCCCAGGGCACAGACGUGGCCUCUGCCUCACACGGUGAACGCUUUUCCAUGGAAUAAGAUGCAGCAGGCAAGAGCAGAGAGCUGCAGUGAGGACAGAGGAUCUGGGGCAGAGGGCUAGCCCAUCUCCACGAGGAGAGGAAGAGAGGCACAGCCAACAAGUAAGUGGCCUGACUGCUGCCACACAGGCCAUGGCAUGGUCCCAGGGCUCUUCCUGGGUGCCUGCAUGCUCCACAGCUGGAUACUGGUAAUCUCAAAGCCUCCCUCUUAUCUACAUGUACUGCCAUAGGACAUCAAACCAUAUGGAAUGACAGUGGUUGAGCUUCUAACAGCCUUGUUGCUUAUUCUGUCUCAACAUUUGCAAAAUCCCCUUCCUUGGCCAUCCCUUCCUCCCCUACAGCUCAGGCAGCUGAGGAACAGCAGAGGCAGGAGAUGGGGCAGCUCUGUGAUGUGUCAUGAAGGCAUCUACUUGGCUUGUGGGAGAGAUGGUCCUUCCAGUCCCUGCUUUAUGGGCCUGAGUACUCGGUUCCUCUGGGCACCAGUGUCCUGCCAACACAGAGAUCCCACCAUGGCACAGAGUUUCCUAAUAUGUUGCUCACUGCCCCUUUAUUCCUUUCUGCCUGUCCAUUCCACUUCUUGGACAGUCCCUCUUCCUCCCCAGGGGUCACACCUCCCCAUCCUUAUUUUUUCACACUUUGCUGCUCCCAGUGUUACUGUGCCCAUCCUGCAUUGCUCCCUGCAUUAGUCUUACUGUCAGAGGACGGCAGCGGGGGUGAGGCUGGAAGAGGAAAUAGGUGCAGCUUUUACCACUGGGCAUGGGUUGUGGUGGGAUGGGAGGAAGGUCCAUGGCAACUCACCAUUUUCACAGAACCUGUAUUUUUCCUGCAUCCAGGAGCUGCUGCUAGAUGGACUUCGGCUUUGUCGUGACAUGGAGGAGAGCAGGAAUGCUCUCAAUGCCAGGCAUCAGUUUUUCUGUUCCAGACUCCAGGCAUUAUUGGUUUGGGCCCAGUUCCCCAAAGGCCUUUGCCGACUCAGUGGCUCUACGGAGGUGACCCUUUGGGCAGGUGCAUUGCUCUGCCACCCUCCCUCUCCGGCUGGGUGGCUCCUUGCAUCUCCCAGCCAGCCACGCCUGCUGCGCAAAGCUGCCCUCUCCAGCACUACGCACAGGGCGCAGUGGGAACAACAGGCUCUGAGCAUGCUGCCUCACAGCCUCCAGAGCAAAGGUGGCCCCAGGGCACUGCCCGUGGAUUUUCCACCCACAGGUGCCACCACCCUUCCGGAAGGAAGCAGUCAGCCUUGUUUUGAGCAGCUGCCUUGCAAAUGCAUCCUCUCUAGCACGCAGCUGCCUGACCCAGGACAAAGUAACUUGUGGCCUCAAGGAGUGAAAUGCAGCAUUGAAAACUGACAGUGCUGCACACAGACAGGGCGAGUGAUGCUCUCCACCAGCUCCUGUGACAACCACCUUUUUGCUUUUCAGUCUUUGUCAGGAAUAGGAAUGAUCUCUAUAGUUUCUUUUCCUGCCUGGUGCUGCCUUUGCAUUUGCUGCAGAGCAGAAAUUCGAGGAGAUGGAUGCAGACCUUGGUCUGCUUUGUGGAAAUACUUCUAGUGUUUUCAGGUAAGGUAAAAGUCUUUCAUUAACAAAUCCUACCUGCUGAUCCCAAAGCACCUGAGAUCCUCUCAGAUUUUUUGCCAGCAUUCCUCGUACUUUUGUGUAGCUCCAAACAGGAAACAAUGCUCUUGGAAAAGCUUCAAGCAGCUCCAGAACGGGUCCCUGGAAACUUGGUGAGGUAGUUACAAUGCAGAGCUCAGAAGUACUCUUUCCACAUGUGCUACCUCUUGGAAGCCAAGGAGGGAUUCUUAGGGCCAGGAAGAGAGAGUGUAUGCCACCAUGUGGCAGCAGAUUCCCAAGCGUGGAGCUCAGGAGAGCUUCAGGCAGGCCCAGCUCAUUGCUCAGGCUGGAGGAUGGCCUGGCCCCCACAGGCAGAACUUCAGCAAGGAGUUAUGACCUUCUGUGCACUGACAGGGAGGUGCUGUACAGGCGCCCUGUGCCAUCUCCAAAGGCCCCAGCCACCCCCUCCAUGAAGGUAAGAUUUAUUCUGCAAUUGAGCAGCCCUGGAAUUUACUAUGGAAGACAAUAUUCAUCUGAGAAUUGUGUUCCAGCACCAAAGACCCAUUAUUCACAGUGACAGCCUGAAGAGCUGAAAAUAAACAAAGAACAAAGUCAAAUCAAGUAGCUUUGGCCAGAAACCACCCUGCCUCAAGGCAGAAGACAACUUCUAAGCAAGAGAGACAACUUCUGAGGAAGAAGCUCUUUUGGAAGCACAUUAUCCCACUGAUGCAAAGCUUCUUGCUUUUCUCUCAGAAGCAACCAAAAACCAGCCUGCCAGAGAACUUUGGGUGAGAUGGAGGCUUAAUUUGAUCCAGGCUGUUCUUAUCUUCUACAUUUCUACAUGUAAAACAAAACAAACAAAAAACCCAACAACAACAAAAAAAAGUUUCUCAUCUUUCUGUCAAUGAAGAGAGCUCUAAAUAUUUGGAGUUAAUAUAAAAAACCACUGCAUUGUUCGUAGUCUGAAUUAUGCUGCAAUGAGGACUCUGAGCUGUCACUCAUAUCAACAGUCUCUUAACUCUAAACUCAGCAAUGGCCACUCGAGCCUUAGGUUCCCUCACUAUUGCGUGUUGCCUGAGUGUGUGUUUGUCCUCUAGGCUCUGUGCUGUCCCCCCAGACAGCAAAAUGCCUAUUUCUGCCUCCUCAACAGUGUUGUGCUGGAACUGCUACACUGUGUUCUAUAAAUACGGCACUGUCAGCCUAAAACGCAUUUGAGUAGAGAGAGGAGUAGCAUGGGGACAGCUGCCUAGCUGGGUUACUUGGAUAUUUCAUUCUCUUAAGUGCUACACUGUAGUUUGAAGGUGCAAAUGAAGCUAUUGACAAGUCUGAGGUCUUUUGCCCUAGAGAUCCAGGUAGUCCAAAGAGCACUGUUCCCAAAAAAACUUGGAGUAAACUUGUCUUGAGCAUCUGGAUCCAUGCAAGCUACUGCUAUAUGAAGUUUUAGCUGAAUUUGGUUGCUGCACCCUGAUCACCCCAGGUGUUUUCCAAAUUCUCCAAUUCUUUGCUUUUCAGAGGAAAUGAGUCUAAGAGGCUAGACUGUGCUGGCAGACCUCCAAGGCCAUGUGCUGGUUUGCCCUGGUGGAGAUUCCAACCUGUUGUUGCUGUCUGGGAAAACCACAUCCGUGUGUCCUUGAGAAGAGCACAUAAGGACCAGAGUGUGGACUGGGGAAAAGUGGACCAGAUCUACCCCUUCUGCUUCCCUCUGUGCUUGUGCAGGGUAGAGCAAAGCAUCAGCUCAGGAGGCAGGGUAAGCCUGUGGAAACCAGAUGCAGCAUGGAGGAGGAGGAGGAAAGACACGGAGUAGUCAGGAUCAGGAUGGGAAUAUGGGACUCCAACGUGCAAAGGUCAUCCAGUUGGGCUCAUGCUCCAACUCACACUGGCUGGAGAAACAGGUCUUCAUAUACAGCAGCAAACACUCAAAAUAAAUCAAAAAGCAUUUAAAAAUAUUGUCCUGCCUGGCUGCUCCAGACGAGUUUUGUAGUGAAUCUGGAGGUGCCUUUUUCCUGGAGUGCUGUGCUCCCAUUAUGCUGCCCACGAGCUGCAUGGGAUCAGGGCUUGGCAACAUGGGUCACCAGGGACAGUCACCUUAAUCAGCUUAAACCACAGCUUGACUAAAGCCUCCAGCUGUGCUGCCCAUCCCAAGGGAAGGUCUCUGAAACAGAGAGUGACUGCCCUGAAAAUUCCUCCUGUGGUCACUUUUGUAAAGUCCUGCUCAGUGCAGAGAGGGACGGAGAAAGUAGUUAGUGGCAUUCUGUCUCUAAAAAGCAGAGUGUUUCAGCUGUGAUUCAUUUUGUCUGGGGAUUUGGCCUGUUCUGCUAGUUUGUGGGAGGCCAAUUCAGCAGAAUUGGUAACCAGUUGUUUGCUGAUGCCGCCUUUGGGAUGAAAGGUUGUCACCUUCCACCUGGGCGAUGUGGGGGAUACUAUUGCCCCAGACGUGGGGGAUACUAUUGCCAACAGACCGGGUCACAACAUCAUUUCCUUCAUAAUGUCCUUGGAGAUGUGCAGAGACGGGCCUCUUGUGUCUGUGGGGCUAGUCUGGCAUAUUUUUUCUUUCUUUCUUUGAAAGAGCAAUAAACACCUUUGGACCACCCCA